rnacentral:lncRNA from 1 species
AUGAUUUCGAGUCUAAAAUAAAUAAUUUGUAACAAGUUAUUUCAAAUAUUCAAUUAAUCAUUAAAAAAAUUUAUACCAAAACUUAUGUCUCUCUUGUUUUUUCCUGCAUCAUCAAUAAUACAUAAAUCAAAAUCAUUCAAUCAAUUAUUACAGAAUAUAAAGGCCCUGCAAAUAAAGUCAUCUGACCUUAACCCCUAAAUUGGGGCACAUGUAUAUUGGCUGGCAGAGUUCUACUCCAUCAUCAAAAUUUCUCAUUUGUCAAUUCAAACAAAUCAAACCUAAACGUACCCUACCCAGUUAAUUUCAUUUGGUGUAUCAAACCUAAUUUUCCACACAAAGACCAAAAAAUUUCCAAUCUGUUAGGUCUAGAGAAUAAUGCAGAUGUAUGUUGGAGUUUGACACAUUGAUGAAAACGAAAUUAAUAUAUAUUUGCGGGUAAACACUCGUUUAUUUUUUAUAUUUUG